CAUACCAUUUGCAAAAGUAAACAACCCAAGGUAUUGCAAGUGGGGUAUGUCCAGUCUUUCUUAGUAGCCACUUAGUCACAAACACUCGCCAAAUAUUAGUUCUUUUGCUUUUUUCACACAAAAACAAAUAUGAACGCUACCUUUGGCGAGUGUUUGUGACUAAGUGGCUACUAAAAAAGACUACACACUCCACUUUCAAUACCUUGGGUUGUCUACUUUUUCAAAUGGUAUG